UAGGGAAUAUUGCAAAAUGGGCGAAAGCCCGAUGCAGCAACGCCGCGUGGGCGAUGAAGGCCUUCGGGUCGUAAAGCCCUUUUUGAGGGGAUGAGGAAGGACAGUACCCUCAGAAUAAGCCUCGGCUAACUACGUGCCAGCAGCCGCGGUAAAACGUAGGAGGCGAGCGUUAUCCGGAUUUACUGGGCGUAAAGCGCGUGCAGGCGGAUUGGAGAGUUGGAUGUGAAAGCUCCCGGCUUAACUGGGAGAGGUCGUUCAAUACUUCCAGUCUUGAGUGCAGUAGAGGGAAGUGGAAUUCCGGGUGUAGUGGUGAAAUGCGUAGAUAUCCGGAGGAACACCAGUGGCGAAAGCGGCUUCCUGGCCCAUUUCUGACGCUCAGACGCGAAAGCUAGGGUAGCAAACG
rnacentral:rRNA from 1 species